rnacentral:lncRNA from 1 species
GAGUUCUCAGCGCCUCCCGCCGCGCAGGCUCGGCGUUGGCCUCCGCGGCCCGUGCGAGUGCGCCCUUCUCGGGUCCCCUAGGUCGCGGGGCAGCCGGGGCGGAAGGGGCUUGUUCAUUAUUUUGAGAGUUUGUUGUGAACGUCAUAACCUUUCGUCCUUAAAUAUUGCCGAUACUUGACCUACGCAAGAGACAAUGUCAUGUGAUUCAGCCUAAUAUCUCAGAGGAUGCAGCAUUCAAGGUUCUAUCUUGGAAGCAGAGACUGUGCCCUCACCAGAUGCUGAACCUGCUGAGCACCCUGAUCUUCCACUUCACCUUCAUCAGAACUUCUUUUCUUUCCCUUUUUAGACUGGGGCUGUGGCUGAGAUGUCACAUGGCAGAUAGGAUCACAAAUUUCUGUUGUAUCUGGAUGGAGAUCAGCAGGAGGAUCUAUGGGUGAGAAGAAGCACAGUUACAGAUGGAUUCUAGAGCCUGCUUGCUGACACAGGCUUGCAACUGCGGACUUUAUAAGCUUAGUUUUUAAUCUGCUAUCAGCUAGCAUAAUACCAUAAAUGCAUAAGAAACUAAGUAUUCAGUCUUACGAGAAAUGCUAUCUUGACCUGACCCUUUCUCCAAAUAAAUUGACAAAAUAUCUCAUCGUCUAGGAUGCCAGACAGAAAUACCAGUUGCAAUGUUUUGUUGCAUAAAGUUUAUCCUAAUUUAAAUUAGUGGCAUAUAAAGUCAUCAUCUUGCUUGAACAAACAUCUUAUUAAAUUGAGCAUGUCUUUUAUCCCAUGAAAUGAAAUUAAUUUUGAGAUAGUUAUUUUUCAGUUGGAAAUUUAUUGAGUUGAUAGAAAACAAGUUAUAUAGUCUUCCAAAGAAUAUGUUACAUCCAUUUGCAUUUUGUUUUUCUUCAGCAAUGUUUGGUUUUUAGAAAAUCUUACAAGUUAAAUAUACUAAUGUAGAAAUUGAAAGAAAAUAAUCAGAGAUAGAGCAAUAAAUUUGCAAAUAAAGAUUAUUCUUAAAACAAA